CAACUUAAGAGUUUGAUCCUGGCUCAGAACGAACGCUGGCGGCAGGCCUAACACAUGCAAGUCGAACGAAGGNNCGNANCUUCGGNUCCGGUAGCCUUAGUGGCGGACGGGUGAGUAACACGUGGGAAUUUGCCCAAGAGUGGGGAAUAACGUUUGGAAACGAACGCUAAUACCGCAUACACCCCUAGGGGGAAAGGCUUCGGCCGCUCUUGGAUAAGCCCGCGUCAGAUUAGCUUGUUGGUGAGGUAAUGGCUCACCAAGGCUACGAUCUGUAGCUGGUCUGAG
rnacentral:rRNA from 1 species